rnacentral:lncRNA from 1 species
UCAGAGGUCAGAUAUAGCCGUUUGGAACCUCAGUAAAAGGACUCAUGACAGUUGGAAAUGGUUUUGAAAAACUGUGUGCAGGAUCGUUCUUGAAUCAUUCUUGAAUCAGUCUUGAAUCAGUCUUGAACCAGUCUUGACUGCAUCAGCAAGUGUGAUGAAGCUUCAUCUCUAUUUCCUUUGUGAUAUGCAGCUGUUCAGUAGGCUCAAGGACAACUCAGAG